rnacentral:rRNA from 1 species
GUCCUCGAGGACGCCGGCCGCUAGGGGGAGUGGACAUAUGCCGGUCCAUCUCUCCUCCGUCGCCCCGGGAAGUACCGUCAUGGUGAGAACCGGGGGCAGGAGGGAUCGGGUCUCCGCAAGGAGACUUCUCCCGAUGCGGGCGGCCCGUGAAAAGUCGAGGACGGCAACUGUGGCUCGUACCGAGAUCUGACACAGGUGCCCCUGGGUGAGAAGCCCAAGGCGUGUCGGCGAGAAUUCGAGCGAGGGAAUUCGGCAAAUUAGCCCCGUAACUUCGGGAGAAGGGGUGCCAGACACGAGGGUGUCUGGUCGCAGUGACCAGGGAGCUCCGACUGUUUAAUAAAAACAUAGGUGGCCGCGAGACCGAAAGGUUGUGUAUGGCCGCUGAAUCCUGCCCAGUGUCGGUAUCUGAAAGCCCGGUACAACGGGACGAAGGACCGAUAAACGGCGGGGGUAACUAUGACCCUCUUAAGGUAGCGUAAUACCUUGUCGCUUAAUUGGCGACUUGCAUGAAGGACCAACGAGAGCUCUACUGUCCCCGCUCGGAAGCCGGCGAAACUGACUCAUUGGCGAGCAGUCCAAUGUCUUCCGUCUGAAAGCGAAGACCCCGUGGAGCUUUACUGCAGCCUGCGGUUGUGGUACGAAUUCGAUUGUGUAGCGUAGGCGGGACUCGUUACCAGGGCCGGCCGCUAGGUCGGUUCCGAGAGAUCAAUGAAACACCGCCCUUUCGGGUUUGUAUCGCUCACCCCGCAAGGGGGACACCCGUAGGUAGGCAGUUUGGGUGGGGCGCCACGCCCUCCAAAAUGUAACAAGGGCCCCCAAAGGUCGGCUCAGGUGGGUCAGAAAUCCACCGUAGAGUGCAAGGGCAAAAGCCGGCUUGACGGGAAUCUGCAUAACGAGGAUUCCCGAUGCGAAAGCAGGGCCUAGCGAACCACUGUGCCUCCCCUGUAGGGGCCAGUGAUAAGAGAAAAGUUACCCCGGGGAUAACUGAGUUGUCUCCAGCAAGAGUCCCUAUCGACCUGGAGGCUUGCUACUUCGAUGUCGGUUCUGCCUAUCCUGGUGGUGCAGCAGCUACCAAGGGUGGGGUUGUUCGCCCAUUAAAAGGGAUCGUGAGCUGGGUUUACACCGUCGCGAGACAGGUGUGUUGCUUUUUGGCGGAAGUGCACGGGUCUCUGACGAGAAGGUUCCCACAGUACGAGAGGAACGGGGAAUCGGCGCCUCUAGUCCAUCAGUUGUCCGGCAGGGCAUCGCUGAGCAGCCACGCGCUCCGGGAUAAGGGCUGAAAGCAUCUAAGCCCGAAACCCCCUCGAAAAAGAGAGACCUUCAAGGACACUCGUAGAAGACGAGCUCGAUAGAGCCGGGGUGUACGCGGAAAGCCUUCGGGCGAUCCGUUCAGCCCGCGGCCACUAACGUCCGCAGCUACGCUA